rnacentral:rRNA from 1 species
AUUGAACGCUGGCGGCAUGCCUUACACAUGCAAGUCGAACGGUAACGCGGGGCAACCUGGCGACGAGUGGCGAACGGGUGAGUAAUGCAUCGGAACGUGCCCAGAAGUGGGGGAUAGCCCGGCGAAAGCCGGAUUAAUACCGCAUGAGACCUGUGGGUGAAAGCGGGGGAUCGCAAGACCUCGCGCUUUUGGAGCGGCCGAUGUCAGAUUAGCUAGUUGGUGGGGUAAAGGCCUACCAAGGCGACGAUCUGUAGCUGGUCUGAGAGGACGACCAGCCACACUGGGACUGAGGCACGGCCCAGACUCCUACGGGAGGCAGCAGUGGGGAAUUUUGGACAAUGGGCGCAAGCCUGAUCCAGCCAUGCCGCGUGCGGGAAGAAGGCCUUCGGGUUGUAAACCGCUUUUGUCAGGGAAGAAACGCUCUGGGCUAAUACCCUGGGGUAAUGACGGUACCUGAAGAAUAAGCACCGGCUAACUACGUGCCAGCAGCCGCGGUAA